AGAGACGCGGCUUUCGGCAAGAACUGGACUCGUGGCGCCACAAGCUCAUCCACUGUGUAGGUCCCGUUUCCCUCUGUGCAGCGGCCGGCGGGACCAUAAGGGCUUAACUCACAUAUUUAACCCCCCUCCAAAAAGAUUUGAAAGUAUUCUUGAAGGGCUGUUUGGACCUGCGUUAUUAAAAGAUCUCAGUUUGUUUAAAGAGUGUGAACCUGAAAGCAUUUCUGAUUGGGCUUUUGAUGAAAAUUGUCUGUUCUGUUGCUUGAGAAGAGAUAAAGUAAAGGGACCUGUGAGGCUGUGGCUGUUUCAGGUCUGGGAGAAAUUUUCAGUAGUCUUUCAAAACUGAAGUAAUAUUUAUAUAUAGUAAAACUAAUUCAAAGAGUAGGGUUAGUUGAUUUUUGGUAAAUACUUUCGGUUAUAUAUACAUAACCAUCAGCACAGUGACCAUUGCUUAACCAUGUUGUCACCUCUCCUCCCCACCCUGCUUCUUUGUAGUUAGUCUUUUCAGCAGGCCUCCAGGCUUAUGCAGUCACUAAUCUUACCUUUCCUAGAAUUACAUAUGGCCCUUUAAUAUGCAGUCUUAUGUUUGACUGUUUUGCUUAACAUGACUUUUUAAGACUCCUAUUUUUGUGUAUAAUCCGUUCCUUUAUUUUCUUUGUAAUUUCUCUUAGCAUAGAUAUACCACAAUUUAGCCAUUUAUUUUAUUAAAAAUUAUUUUAUGU
rnacentral:lncRNA from 1 species